AUGCUCACUUCAGCAGUACAUAUACUAAAACUGGGAACAAUACAGAGAAGAUUAGCAUGAUCCCUGCACAAGGAUGACAUGCAAAUUCAUGAAACAUUCCACAAAACA
rnacentral:snRNA from 1 species